rnacentral:lncRNA from 1 species
AAGAGACAGUGAACCCCGGAACCUCUCAGUGUGAAUAAUGUGUAGACUGGUUCACAAUGCUAUCCCCUUCACGAGAGUUAAGAAUGGAUAGAACUCUGAGGUGGGAAGGGCAAUGGGCUCAUUGUUUUUCAAAUUUAAAAUUGAGGCUUUCAAAUUUUCUGGCAUUUUCCAGGCAGUGGUGCCAUACACCUUUAAUCCCCCCCAACACUCAGAACAUUCAGAAGGCAGAAGCAGGCAGAUCAGAGCUCGAGGCCUGCCUGGCCUACAGAGUAAGUUCAGGACACCCAAAGCUACACAGAGAAACUCUGUCUCAAACAUACAAAAACACCUUUUUUGCAUUGUUCUCUUCUGGCUGUUUGAUGUGGGGUAUUCCUGUGGGGCCUGGGUUGACCUGGGACUGGGCAUCCUAUUUCUCAGUUUCCCAAGGGCUUUACAGGUGUCUUUGCACCCAGCUGGCUAUCCCUUCUUUUUGUUUUGUUCUGAAAAAGCAUCUCACUGUGCAGCCUGCUGAGUAGAAGUGGCUGUUCCUUUUAAAACACGCAUUCAAACAAUGUCCUGCAUUGACACAACAGACUGCCUUUGGGCCUGUUUCUCACUAGCCGUGCCUGACCCACUCCACCACCAUCAUUCCUCAAGUGUAUGGUGGGACUGUGACGAUCGAUGGGCCGAACUGCCUGCAUACCAGGCCCUCCUUCAGCACUUGCUGGUCCCCACUUGGAGAUGCAUCACCGUACCCUGAGACACCAAGGCCCAAUCCUGGAAUUGGAGGAUCUACAGAAGCUCAAGAUUAGCAAGCUGAAUGCCUGCUUGGUGCCCCUGCCUGAGGUCCCCCUGGUGUGUACAGGCCAGCAUGGAGGCCAGAGUCCUGUUGCUGUUGAAAUGGCUUUCCCCAGAUUCAUGUAGCUUAACACACACAUAGCCUUGCUAUGGUGUUGAGAAGGUAGAAAUGGUGCCUCUGGGGAACCUCCGCCAGUAAACAUGGCUUCCCACCAGGCCUGGCUGCCUGAGUUCCACCCCAGGACCACAGUGGAAGGAGAGAACUAAUGUUGUCCUCUGAACCUCAUUGGCAGGCACUGUGACACACAUGGUGGACAGUCCCAUUAUAGUGUUCAGAGAUGAGGAACCCCCAAAACUGAGCUACUCAAACCUCUGCUCUCUCGAGUCCCAGCCUCGAGUCCCAGCUGUCAGUCAAGAUGACUCGUAAAGAUGGCUUGAGCCAACCACAGAUAUUUCUUUCAGAAAAAAAUUUUUAACUUUUUUUUUUUAGAUUUUAGUUUGUGUGUGUUAUGCGUGUGUGUGUGUGUGUGUGUGUGUGUGUGUGUGUGUGUGUGUGUAUGCAAACUAAAUGCAUGUUAUAUUCCAGCAAAGGGGAGAAGGAGAAUUCCAAGAUGGUUAUGAGUCACCAUCAAGGUGCUGAGAGGCACCUAAAGAGCACCAAGGGCUCUUAACUACUCUCCAGUCUGCUUUCUUUUCUAAUUUCUUUGCUUGUUUUGUUUGUAUAUUUUGUUUUUCGAGACAAGUUCUCUGUGUAGCCCUGAUUGUCCUGGAACUCAUUAUGUAGACAAGGUUUAUCUUGAACUCACAGAAAGAGUUCUGCCUCACCAGUGCUGGGAUUAAAGGGAUGUGUCAGGAGCUGGAGAGAUGGCUUAGCAGUUAAGAGCACUGACUGCUCUUCCAGACAGAAGUCCUGAGUUCAAUUCCCAGCAACCACAUGGUGGCUCACAACCAUCUGUAAUGGGAUCUGAUGCCCUCUUCUGGUGUGUCUGAAGAGAGCAACAGUGUACUCAUAUACAUAAAUCUUUUUUAAAAAUUUAAAAGGCUAAACAAGCCAUGGGGAGCAAGCUAGUAAGCAGCACCCUCCAUGUCCUCUGCAUCAGCUCCUGCCUCCAGGUUCCUGCCUAGCUUCCCUCAAUGGGUUGUGAUGCACAGUAUGUAAACUGAAUAAACCCUUUCCUCUCC